rnacentral:misc_RNA from 1 species
GAUGAAGAACGCAGCGAAAUGCGAUAAGUAAUGUGAAUUGCAGAAUUCAGUGAAUCAUCGAGUCUUUGAACGCACAUUGCGCCCCCUGGUAUUCCGGGGGGCAUGCCUGUCCGAGCGUCAUUGCUGCCCUCAAGCACGGCUUGUGUGUUGGGCCUCCGUCCUCCUCCCGGGGGACGGGCCCGAAAGGCAGCGGCGGCACCGCGUCCGGUCCUCGAGCGUAUGGGGCUUAGUCACCCGCUCUUGUAGGCCCGGCCGGCGCUUGCCGACACAUCAAUCUUUUUUCCAGGUUGACCUCGGAUCAGGUAGGGAUACCCGCUGAACUUAAGCAUAUCAAUAAGCGGAGGA